AUGGGUCCGUCUGGGCAGAGCUCUGAGGACGCUCCACCACCGAUUCCUGGCUGCUGCAGGGCCCUAGGCAGCUCCUUCUGGUCGGGUCAGAGGCUAGUGCCCCCAUGCCCCAGCUGUGCUAGUGCACGGUACCCGGGCUUCACGCACCCUGUGCCGCCGUUGGGUGGUCCCUGGGCACAGACGCGAGGCGUGGACAGCGACUACUCUGGGCCUCGCUUACACUCGGGUCUAUUUAAUUGGCAGCACAUCAGAAACGUGCGCGUGCUGGCCGUGGACGCCAGUCGCGGGCAGAAUCCGUGGCACCCACAGCAGGCUCCCCGGGGAAUCGCGUUCUGCUGUGUUUACUUCCUGGCUGGCUGCUUCACUGCUCGCUGUGCGGGGCCCACAGCGGCCACGGAGGAACCGCCCUCCCGACCGGAGAGAAGCGGCUCGGGAGGCUUCGGGGGGGGCGGGGGGGGGGCAGGGCUGCACACCCUCGUGGUUCUAGAGGAGGGUCCUUCCUGCCCCUUCCAGUUUUUGGUGGCCCCCGGCUUUGUUCCAGUCUCUGCCUGUCUUCAAAGGGUGUCUCCUCUGCGUCUGUGUCUCCUCUCUUCAUUAUAGGGACACAUGUCAUUGGACUUAGGGCCACCCUAAUUCAGCAUGAGCUCAUCUCCAUGUCCUUAAUUGCAUCUGUAAACACCCUUUCUCCAAAUAAGGUUACACUCACAGAUUCUGGGGUCCACCAAAAGCCCCACCAGACCACCGUUCAGGACAGAGCAGAGGGCGGGACCAGGACUGCCUGCCUGGCAGGGCUCUCUUCUGGGGCAGACACGCACUCUGUCUGCUGAGCUCAGUCCCAGUGCAGAGCAGGAGCCCAUAAGCGCGAGAGGAGGAAUGGGAAGGGGACGCGAGUGGACCUCACGACCCUCCGACGAGGUGCCCGCGAAGCCUGCCUGGUUCCGGGUCCGACCCUUCUGCUCUGAGCCCGUAACACAAGUCACUGAGUGUGGGUCAGGGGCCCCAUGAAGGCUCCUCCGUGCGGCCACUCGGAAGGCCAAAGGGACAUGCGUGCAAAGCCGGUCUUGACUUCGCUCUGAGACGGAGACCCGAGGUGGCUUUGCUGUGCUGGGCGGGCCGGGGGGGCAGACAUGGGUGCUGGGACCCGGUCCGGAGCUUGCUCUGGCCCGACGGCAAGCUGGAAACGGGACAACAAGCAGGGAAGCCAGGAUGGGGUCAGCACCCCUGGCUCUCUUCAGCCAGACGCAUGGGGACCCCUGCCACCUGCCAGAGCUCCUGCCCCAGGCACGGGAGGGCUCCCAGUGGCUCUGCCUCAAGCCCCAAGCCCCUGCCCCAUACGCUGCCCUGGCCCCAGGGGUUCCCGGGAGAGCCAAGGGGUCUCCUCGCCUGUCCCAGACCCAGGGCUUGACCGGACAGGAGCAGCCCUCCAGCGCGACUCCACGGGGCCGGCUGUGUGGGCCCCACACGGGGAUUUUCACUUCCACCAGCAAUAAACUAAACGUGUUUUCGUUCCUCCUGCCCUGGAGAAACAGCCACCAUGGGCGAGGGAGCCCAGAAGGACAGGCUCUCUCUGAAGGAAAUCCCAGAGGUGCCAGCCUGGGCGGGGGGACGCUGAGGGCAACAGGCCCGGGCCACCCCUCACUCUGCAUCCCAUGUCCCGCCCGUGAGAGGGCGCUGCUGUCCCCUGCACCUGCCGGCCAGUCCACAGAGAAGCCGGCUGUCCCACGCAGCGUGGCUGCUAGAGCCCAGCCAAGGGCUUUACAGGCGCCAAAGGCUUUCUUCAUUACUGUCCUUCAUUAUUGAUUACUGAUCUGGGGGUCAGGUGGGACCAUUCUCUGUGCCAAUACGGGGGCCACCUCAAGCGCAGCCAGGAGACCAGCUUGCCCCUUCCUAUGUCCCACCUGCGAGGCUGCAGGUGUGUCGAGACCCCGUGAGCGCCUCAGAGCUCGCCGGCAGACCAGGUGCUGGGCCUGGUCCCUCCCUCCGGUCCCUGAGUCCAGGCAGGGGACGGCGGUGCUGAUGGGCUGGACGGUGGGCUCUGGCGCUUGUGGGAGUAUGCGGCAGGGAUGAGGGUCUCGGCCUCACCUGUGCUCACGGGUCCCAGAGGCGCUCCUUGAGUCUCAGAGCGCCUGUCUGGUCUGGCUGAGAAACGAGGUCUGGUCACACCGUUCCCCCAGCGAGGACCUGCACAGUCCCCUUGGACUUGUCACUGAGGCAGGCACCUCUGCCUCGGCCACCACUACGGUCCCUGAGCCAGCCCCGGCCUGGGGUUUCCAGGACCGGGGGUCCACGUGCUGGAGCACAGUGAGGCACCAACAGCUUUGUCUGUCACCAGAGAGAAAGAAGGUCGUCCCCGCCCGGAGCCACAGCUUCCCCGAGACCGAGUUCCCAGCAGGCAGGUCUGCAGCUGAUGUCGCACUCUGAGCAGCCCCCGGCGCUUAGCAGGAGGGCUCUGAGGUGUGUCGCUGCGCGUGGCCGCUGGGCAGCCACUCUGAGCCCGGGGCUGGCGGGGGAGACGGCCACAGGCUGCCCACAUGUGCAGCUGGACGUGAAUUUCCACAAGGACGCGGAUCCGGGAGGCUGGAUGGGGAGGCUCGGGCUGGAAGUAGUGGACCCUGAAAGCUUUCACAGCAGAUGGCCCCAGACCUGGGCAUCCACAGCCCAGGGCCAGGCCUCAGUCUGCAGGGGCUCCCCGAGGGCCACUGCAGAGCUGAGAGGCACCGCCCGAGGGCAGGCCCACAUGGGUGCCCAGGACGCUGCCCCAAGCUAAUUUGAAAGAGGCCUGGAGGAGUGCCUGGGUGGCUCAGUGGGUUAAGCCUCUGCCUUCGGCUCAGGUCAUGAUCUCAGGGUCCUGGGAUCGAGCCCCGCAUGGGGAUCUCUGCGCCACGGGGAGCCUGCUUCCUCCUCUCUCUCUGCCUGCCUCUCUGCCUACUUGCGAUCUGUCUCUGCCAAAGAAAUAAAUAAAAUCUUUUUUAAAAAAGAGAGAAAAGAAAGAGUCCUGGAUCCUUCCUCGGGGUCCAAGGAGAGAUGUUGUCCCAGAUCACCUGGUUCUGGCUCCUGAACAAAGCCAUCAGCCAUGUUUUGUGUCCUGGGCCCCUGGCUCUGUGGCCAGUGCAGGACCACCCAGCCCCCAGCCCCGUGUUGCUCACUGUGCAGCAUCCGAUGGUCCCAGCACAGCCCUGGGAUCCCCAAAAGUCCCCAGCACCUACGAGCCCAAACAGGGCCCGUCGGGCUCUUUGCAUCCCUCCCAGGGCUCCCUAUGAGGACAAGGAAGAGCAUCGACUUAGGAGCAGUGUGAGCUGGAACAGCAGGGAGGACUUCCUGGAGGAAGGGGUGAGCAGUUUUGAGUCUGGGAAAGUGGGUGGACCACUGCGCCCCGUGUUCUCCCAGCUGUAAUCCAACAGAAGGGAGGGCUCCUUGAAUUUGUGUCCUCACCUCCCUCCAGAUGUCCACGUUCCCCUCUUGCUCAGCUGGGUCCGGGGGUCGCCUCCUCCACGAAGCCCUCCAUCCGUCAGCCUCACAGCUAAUGUGCCCCGUCCCUGUGCUCUGCGUCCUCGCUGGGUCACAAGGGCAGAGCUGGACAAGGCCGCUCUGACCGCCGACGGGACCCGCAAGCCCCGAAGCUCAGCUCAGGGGCGGCCCCUCAGACGGCCCCCCCGCCAGUGAGUGGAGCUUCCGUUCCCAACAGGCCACUCCUGCGGGUUUUUACGGUCUGGUUUCUAAAAAUGGCAGAGGGCUCAUUUCUCAACGUCCCCUCUGCGAGGCGGUUUCCAUUUCACACUUGAAGCCGUUUGUGGCUCUAACUGCCGGCCACAGCUGGGUCCACACUUGCACGUGGGCCGGGUGAGCUCUCUGCGGCAGACGACUUCUGUUCUCCGGUCCACCUCUGCGCAUGAGUCACGGGCGGGGAGUGGUCAGGUCAGACGGCGCAAGGCCUGCAGGAAGGCAGGCGUGAGCCUCCUCAGCCUCCACGUCCCCGGGGACCCCUGUCCAGGUCCCCAACCAGGCACAGCCCAGGGGGCAGGCCCUGCCCAAGUCCAGCCCCUGGGAGCCGUGCCCAGCAGCCCUGGCGAUGUUCGGGGCGACCGACCGGCGGGGAGAUGGGUGGCCGUGCGUCCGGCAGGGAGGGGAGGGCAGGCGAGCCAGGAGGGAUGGUGGUGGUGGUGCCUGGCGAGGGAGAGAGCCCGGCGUCCCAGCCCGUGGGCCUCGCACUCCAGCCUCCCUGCCCUGGUCCCGUGGCUAUGAGGACAAGUGGCCAUCGAGGGCCAGAGAGACUCGGGCGCCCUCUCUGGGCCUCAGCGAGGCCGCCGAGCCCUCAGCUUCCUCCCCUACAGGCAGGGGUGGGGGGCAGGCCUCACCCACCGGUCGGGCCCCCGGCCUUGGUGUGAGGCUGGGAGGUUGUGGUUGUGGGGGCGAAGGCAACAGGAAAGGCUGUGAGGGCCAGAGAGAGGGCUCGGCCCAAGGGUGCCGCCCCCGGCCCCUCCAGCACUGGUGCCGGGCGGCUGACGAACGCGGGGACGUCCACGAGCCCCGCGUGGGACCCGAGCUCAGCCCAGCGGGCCGUGCCCAGGGGAGGGGCAG
rnacentral:lncRNA from 1 species